rnacentral:lncRNA from 1 species
AAACGCAUCAACAUCUCCAACUGCUAUGGAACAAAAACCUCAUACAGAUGCUAAGCACACCUACUCAUUUCUUCUAGUUUGAGCCUAGACACUAUAAAAUCUGACAUUAGGUGAAAAUUAGUGUGUUUUAGAACAGUUUACAGAUUCCAGAUAAUUUAGCUCCACACAAGAUCCCUAACCAAAGUGCAUAUCCACCAAUCCAAACAUUCCAUACUCUAAUACAGAUAACACAACUCCCAAUUCACAACCAAACCUAUACUCCAAUCUCCUCCGCAUCAUAAACCGACAAUCCCGAUUUGAAAAGUCACAGUACCUGGUGACUCCCCGGUAUAUGGAA